rnacentral:tRNA from 1 species
UUCUCCAUAGUACAGUGGUUAGUAUUACCGCCUGUCACGCGGGUGACCGGUGUUCGAUUCCCCGUCGGGAAG